AGUUGAGCGAGAUAAGUUGUAGCAAUACGGCUUUGGAAGCGGCGCACGGGUGCGUAACACGUAUGCAACCUACCUUUUACUAAGGAAUAGCCUCUCGAAAGAGAGAUUAAUACCUUAUAAUAUGUUUUGAAGGCAUCUUCAGAACCUUAAAGCUCCGGCGGUAAAAGAUGGGCAUGCGGUUGAUUAGCUAGUUGGUGAGGUAAUGGCUCACCAAGGCUUCGAUCAAUAGGGGGUCUGAGAGGAUGUCCCCCCACACUGGUACUGAGACACGGACCAGACUCCUACGGGAGGCAGCAGUAGGGAAUAUUGGACAAUGGGCGCAAGCCUGAUCCAGCCAUGCCGCGUGCAGGAUGAAGGCCCUAUGGGUCGUAAACUGCUUUUGUACGGGAAGAAACCUCACUACGUGUAGUGAGUUGACGGUACCGUGAGAAUAAGGAUCGGCUAACUUCGUGCCAGCAGCCGCGGUAAUACGAAGGAUCCAAGCGUUGUCCGGAUUUACUGGGUUUAAAGGGUGCGUAGGCGGACUUUUAAGUCAGUGGUGAAAGCUCGCAGCUUAACUGUGAAAUUGCCAUUGAAACUGAAAGUCUCGAGUGUGGUUGAGGUAACUGGAAUAUAUCAUGUAGCGGUGAAAUGCUUAGAUAUGAUAUAGAACACCAAUUGCGAAGGCAGGUUACUGAGCCACAACUGACGCUGAGGCACGAAAGCGUGGGGAUCAAACAGGAUUAGAUACCCUGGUAGUCCACGCCGUAAACGUUGAAUACUCGAUCUUAGCGAUACACAGUUAGGAUCCAAGCGAAAGCGUUAAGUAUUCACCUGGGAAGUACGUUCGCAAGAAUGAAAC
rnacentral:rRNA from 1 species